rnacentral:sRNA from 2 species
UAUCGGACUUGUUCGGUGAGGCUCCUAUAUAAACAUAGGCUGCUGCCCAAAAACGUCGAGAGACGCCAAUGGGUGUAACAGGAUUUGUCGAAAUAAGGCAUAUCUUAACGCAGCUAACUCAAUGUUUACGUUGUAUAGUGCUAAAACUCAGACGAUUGAGUACAUAG